rnacentral:rRNA from 1 species
AGUAACGCGUGGGUAACCUGCCUCAUACAGGGGAGUAACAGUUAGAAAUGACUGCUAAUACCGCAUAAGCGCACAGUGCUGCAUGGCACAGUGUGAAAAACUCCGGUGGUAUGAGAUGGACCCGCGUCUGAUUAGCUAGUUGGUGGGGUAACGGCCUACCAAGGCGACGAUCAGUAGCCGGCCUGAGAGGGUGAACGGCCACAUUGGGACUGAGACACGGCCCAA